GCACGCUGAGCUCUCACGUGGUGCGCUUCAAAAACAUGAGCAUCCAGCACCUUCUUCCCCCCGCAGGCUGAGGUGAGACAUAGAGAGGGCAUGCAGACACCUUUUAAUAAAAAAUGUUUUCUUUAAUGGACAGAACAUUGCACAACAAAAGGCCUGCCGUUCAAGAGUAUCACUAAUCUAAGGACAAGUGCUGCCCUCUGCUGGACUGGUCAGAUAUUAGUUCUUGCAUCCUUUUAUAUACAGCUCAGGGUUUUCCAUUUAUGUGAGAUCCAGUUUAAGUGAAUAAUUAAUAAAAUAAAGUUUGAAUCCU